UAGAGAGAGAGAGAGAGAGAGAGAGAGAGAAGGGCUGCUGUGCUCUCAGGAGCAUAGAGGCCUCUGUGCUCCUAAGCUGUUUUUUAUGAUGAAAUUUUCGAAUCGAUGAUCGGCUCCAUUAGACUUGAUCUAGGGUAUUUGAAGUUUCUAGAAAAUAAUUUUUGCGAUUUUUUGAUAUCAUUUACCUAAUGAUCGAAAGGAUUUAAAAUCAAUAUUUUUUAAUGGUUGAUAUCUGCCGUUUUCAAGUUUAACGGUGUAGAAGUACUCAAAUCAGAUGAAAUUUUGAUACAAAAUUCUUUAUACUAUCU
rnacentral:lncRNA from 1 species